rnacentral:rRNA from 1 species
CUACGGGAGGCAGCAGUGGGGAAUAUUGGACAAUGGGGGAAACCCUGAUCCAGCAAUGCCGCGUGGGUGAUGAAGGCCUUCGGGUUGUAAAGCCCUUUUGGCGGGGACGAUGAUGACGGUACCCGCAGAAUAAGCCCCGGCUAACUUCGUGCCAGCAGCCGCGGUAAUACGAAGGGGGCUAGCGUUGUUCGGAAUUACUGGGCGUAAAGGGCGCGUAGGCGGCUUCGAUAGUCAGGCGUGAAAGGCCUGGGCUCAACCCAGGAACUGCGCUUGAUACUGUGAGGCUAGAGUGUGGGAGAGGAUGGUGGAAUUCCCAGUGUAGAGGUGAAAUUCGUAGAUAUUAGGAAGAACACCGGUGGCGAAGGCGGCCCACUGGAUCGGUACUGACGCUGAGGUGCGAAGGCGUGGGGAGCGAACGGGAUUAGAAACCCUAGUAGUCC